rnacentral:tRNA from 1 species
UGGGUUGUAUUUAAAAAUAAUAUCUGAUUUGCAUUCAGAAGGUGCUUGUUAGCCUUCCUUA